CAUGUCUUUUUGAUUAUGAUUUAAAGUCUAACCUGCCCAAUGAAAUUUUAAAUGGCUGCGGUAUUUUGACCGUACAAAGGUAGCAUAAUAAUUAGUUUUUUAAUUGAGAACUGGAAUGAAGGGUUGAACGAGAAAAAUACUGUCUCAAUUUAAGUUAAAAUUUGAAUUUUAUAUUUAAGUUAAAAAGCUUAAAUAUUUUUAAAAGACGAGAAGACCCUAUAGAGUUUUAUAUUAUUUAUUAUUUAUUAAUUUAAAGUAUUAUUUUUUAUAAUAAUAAUUAAUAUUUGGUUGGGGUGACUAAAAAAUUGAUAUAACUUUUUUUAUAUUUUUACAUUAAUUUAUGAAUAAUUGAUCCAUUAUUAAUGAUUAUAAGUUUAAAUUACCUUAGGGAUAACAGCGUUAUUUUUUUUUAGAGUUCUUAUCGAAA
rnacentral:rRNA from 1 species